AUAAAAAUUCGUUUUUCUUCUCCACUUCAGACUGGAACAGUGUUAACCGCACAGACCUGACGGGUGCUCAGACUGCGGAGGAUAAGAAGUCAUUCAUUUUGGGGCUGGUCCUGGGCAUUGGUAUCCCCCUCCUGCUGCUACUGUUGCUGGCGGCGCUUGCCUGCUUCUGUUGCUGCUCACGCAAGAAAACCAUCUCUGGGGAUAUUCCUCAUCUGCUGCCCGAGUACAUUCAGGAGCAGUUCAACCCUCCGUUCAACUUUGACGACCCCUCUCUGCACUACAUCACCCACGUCAGCCCACGUAUCCUUGAUAACCUCACUCCUCAACAGAAGCGCCGGUAUCGAUAACACAGGCCCUGUGUGGUUCAUGCAGCAUCAGUGCAGAUGUACAUUUGUGUUUAAAAGAAAUCCCAGUAUGAUAUUAUUUAUAUUAAACAGAGACCGCUGACUUUUUCGGUCAUGUGUGAAAGUGAAAGAACACAUGCAAACCAAACAUAGAGCAAUCUGUGAGCAACAAGCUCUGCUGAAUUAUUACCUCUUGUAAAGAAAAUAAUGUAUAAAAUAUGCAUUGUUCUCAUCAAAUUUCAACAAAAUUAUCAGUUGGCAUGCAUUAGUUGCACUUCUGUAGCACUGACCUUAAAAAACAAAGCUACCGUUUAAAGAUGUUUACGUAAGAGGAGAAACAUCUGAACUUUAGUUGCAGGUAUUGCUGCAAAUAUGGUUAAAUUUAGGGAAAUUAGGCACAUUUUAUGACCACUCAAAAAUUUUAAAGGUCUGGAUGCAUUUUAGUAAUACGAAUUGUGGUCAAAUGUGCAUUAAUGUUAUGAAAUAGUCAAAUGCCACAAAAAUUGUUCUGUAAUACAUUUUCCCCUUAGUUUGGGGGUGAAAUAUGGCAUUCUGCAUGGACUUUUUUAUGGAAUGUAUGUCUCUGGUCAAAAUUUUCCUGUUGAAAUCAAAGCAACUGAAUGUAUGUAUGUUGUCUAGAAGCAAACAUAAGGCACCAUCAAACACUUUGUCUUAAAAUGCUUAGCAAUGAUUAUGAUAUUUCUACACCCUCUAGUACUCUUUCCUCAAAUAAAAUAAAUUAAAAAUAA
rnacentral:lncRNA from 1 species